rnacentral:rRNA from 1 species
GAUGAACGCUGGCGGCGUGCUUAACACAUGCAAGUCGAGCGAAGCACCUAAGAAAGAUUCUUCGGAUGAAUUCUUUUGUGACUGAGCGGCGGACGGGUGAGUAACGCGUGGGUAACCUGCCUCAUACAGGGGGAUAACAGUUAGAAAUGACUGCUAAUACCGCAUAAGACCACGGUACCGCAUGGUACAGUGGUAAAAACUCCGGUGGUAUGAGAUGGACCCGCGUCUGAUUAGCUAGUUGGUGGGGUAACGGCCUACCAAGGCGACGAUCAGUAGCCGACCUGAGAGGGUGACCGGCCACAUUGGGACUGAGACACGGCCCAAACUCCUACGGGAGGCAGCAGUGGGGAAUAUUGCACAAUGGGGGAAACCCUGAUGCAGCGACGCCGCGUGAAGGAUGAAGUAUUUCGGUAUGUAAACUUCUAUCAGCAGGGAAGAAAAUGACGGU